ACGUUAUCAUUCUUGUUAGUUCUAAGUGAAUUCCCUCGGUAUGAUAAUUUGUUCAUCAGUUUGUUCCCCGUUUCUUCUCUAGCCUGAGCCUGACACACUAUUCUAGCUAGACAUGGGUGUGGCUCGUAACACCUGAUGACCAAACGGAUCUACGACACCAUCGAAUCUCAAACUUUAACUACCAAAACUAUUGUUUUUCAUCCUCUAGUCCCUUUUAGAAUUACUAAACGUCCUUUUUUGGGCCGAGAUUUCCAGGAACGCUUUCUCGGGGUUUGUGUGCAUGUAUUUCAAACCAUACAGACCUAAAAAUUAGAAGUCAUUCCAUCUUUAUUCCCGUAGAGCCUUCCAGCAGUUCCUAAACCGCUCCAGUCGGAGCAUGUUAUCAUUCUUGUUUGUUCUGAGUGAAUUCCCUCGGUAUGAUAAUUCUAUCAUCAGUUUGUUCCCCGUUUCUUCUCUAGCCUGAGCCUGGCAAACUAUUCNNNNNNNNNNNNNNNNNNNNNNNNNNNNNNNNNNNNNNNNNNNNNNNNNNNNNNNNNNNNNNNNNNNNNNNNNNNNNNNNNNNNNNNNNNNNNNNNNNNNNNNNNNNNNNNNNNNNNNNNNNNNNNNNNNNNNNNNCUAAACCGCUCUAGUCGGAGCACGUUAUCAUUCUUGUUAGUUCUGAGUGAAUUCCCUCGGUAUGAUAAUUCUUUCAUCAGUUUGUUCCCUGUUUCUUCUCUAGCCUGAGCCUGACACACUAUUCUAGCUAGACAUGGGUGUGGCUCGUAACACCUAAUGACCAAACGGAUCGACGGCACCAUCGAAUCUCAAACUUUAACUGCCAAAACUAUUGUUUUUCAUCCUGUUGUCCCAUUUAGAAUUACUAAACGUCCUUUUUUGGGCCGAGAUUUAGAGGAACGCUUUCUCGGGGUUUGUGUGCAAGUAUUUCAAACCAUACGGACCUAAAAAUUAGAAGUCAUUCCAUCUUUAUUCCCCUAGAGCCUUCCAGCAGUUCCUAAACCGCUCAAGUCAGAGCAUGUUAUCAUUCUUGUUAGUUCUGAGUGAAUUCCCUCGGUAUGAUAAUUCUUUCAUCAGUUUGUUCCCUGUUUCUUCUCUAGCCUGAGCCUGACACACUAUUCUAGCUAGACAUGGGUGUGGCUCGUAACACCUGAUGACCAAACGGAUCUACGACACCAUUGAAUCUCAAACUUUAACUACCAAAACUAUUAUUUUUCAUCCUGUAGUCCCUUUUAGAAUUACUAAACGUCCUUUUUUGGGCCGAGAUUUCCAAGAACGCUUUCUCGUGGUUUGUGUGCAAGUAUUUCAAACCAUACAGACCUAAAAAUUAGAAGUCAUUCCAUCUUUAUGCCCGUAGAGCCUUCCAGCAGUUCCUAAACCGCUCCAGUCGGAGCACGUUAUCAUUCUUAUUAGUUCUGAGUGAAUUCCCUCAGUAUGAUAAUUCUUUCAUAAGUUUGUUCCCCAUUUCUUCUCUAGCCUGAGCCUGGCACACUAUUCUAGCUAGACAUGGGUGUGGCUCAUAACACUUGUUGACUAAAUGGAUCGACGGCACCAUCGAAUCUCAAACUUUAACUGCCAAAACUAUUGUUUUUCAUCCUGUAGUCCCAUUUAGAAUUAUUAAACGUCCUUUUUUGGGCCGAUAUUUAGAGUAAUGCUUUCUCGGGGUUUGUCUGCAAGUAUUUCAAACCAUACGGACCUAAAAAUUAGAAGUCAUUCCAUCUUUAUUCCCCUAGAGCCUUCCAGCAGUUCCUAAACCGCUCUAGUCGGAGCACGUUAUCAUUCUUGUUAGUUCUGAGUGAAUUCCCUCAGUAUGAUAAUUCUUUCAUCUGUUUGUUCCCCGUUUCUUCUCUAGCCUGAGCCUGACACACUAUUCAAGCUAGACAUGGAUGUGGCUCGUAACACCUGAUGACCAAACGGAUCUACGGCACCAUCGAAUCCCAAACUUUAACUGCCAAAACUAUUGUUUUUCAUCCUGUAGUCCCUUUUAGAAUUACUAAACGUCCUUUUUUGGGCCGAGAUUUCCAGGAAUGCUUUCUCGGGGUUUGUGUGCAAGUAUUUCAAACCAUACAAAGCUAGAAAUUAGAAGUCAUUCCAUCUUUAUUAUCGUAGAGCCUUCCAGCAGUUCCUAAACCGGUCUAGUCGGAGCACGUUAUCAUUCUAGUUAGUUCUGAGUGAAUUCCCUCGGUAUGAUAAUUCUUUCAUCAGUUUGUUCCCCGUUUCUUCUCUAGCCUGAGCCUGACAAACUAUUCUAGCUAGACAUGCGUGUGGCUCGUAACACCUGAUGACCAAACGGAUCUAUAGCACCAUCGAAUCUCAAACUUUAACUGCCAAAACUAUUGUUUUCAUCCUGUAGUCCCUUUUAGAAUUACUAAACUUCCUUUUUUGGGCCGAGAUUUAGAGGAACGCUUUCUGGGGUUUGUGUGCAAGUAUUUCAAACCAUACAGACCUAAAAAUUAGAAGUCAUUCCAUCUUUAUUCCCCUAGAGCCUUCCAGCAGUUCCUAAACCGCUCUAGUCGGAGCACGUUAUCAUUAUUGUUAGUUCUGAGUGAAUUCCCUCGGUAUGAUAAUUCUUUCAUCAGUUUGUUCCCUGUUUCUUCUCUAUCCUGAGCCUGACACACUAUUCUAGCUAGACAUGGGUGUGGCUCGUAACACCUGAUGACUAAAUGGAUCGACGGCACCAUCGAAUCUCAAACUUUAACUGCCAAAACUAUUGUUUUUCAUCCUGUAGUCCCAUUUAGAAUUAGUAAACGUCCUUUUUUGGGCCGAGAUUUAGAGGAACGCUUUCUCGGGGUUUGUGUGCAAGUAUUUCAAACCAUACGGACCUAAAAAUUAGAAGUCAUUCCAUCUUUAUUCCCCUAGUCAUCAGGUAUACACUCAAGUCGGAGCACGUUAUCAUUCUUGUUAGUUCUGAGUGAAUUCCCUCGGUAUGAUAAUUCUUUCAUAAAUUUGUUCCCCGUUUCUUAUAUGGCCUGAGCCUGACACACUAUUCUAGCUAGACAUGGGUGUGGCUCGUAACACCUGAUGACCAAACGGAUCUACGGCACCAUCAAAUCUCAAACUUUAACUGCCAAAACUAUUCUUUUUCAUUCUGUAGUCCCUUCUAGAAUUACUAAACGUCCUUUUUUGGGCCGAGAUUUCCAGGAACGCUUUCUCGGGGUUUGUGUGCAUGUAUUUCAAACCAUACAGACCUAAAAAUUAUAAGUCAUUCCAUCUUUAUUCCCGUAGAGCCUUCCAGUAGUUCCUAAACCGCUCCAGUCGGAGCAUGUUAUCAUUCUUGUUAGUUCUAAGUGAAUUCCCUCGGUAUGAUAAUUCUUUCAUCAGUUUGUUCCCCGUUUCUUCUCUAGCCUGAGCCUGGCACACUAGUCUAGCUAGACAUGGGUGUGGCUCGUAACACCCGAUGACUAAAUGGAUCGACGGCACCAUCGAAUCUCAAACUUUAACUGCCAAAACUAUUGUUUUUCAUCCUGUAGUCCCAUUUAGAAUUACUAAACGUCCUUUUUUGGGCCGAGAUUUAGAGGAACGCUUUCUCGUGGUUUGUGUGCAAGAAUUUCAAACCAUACGGACCUAAAAAUUAGAAGUCAUUCCAUCUUUAUUCCCCUAGAGCCUUCCAGUAGUUCCUAAACCGCUCUAGUCGGAGCACGUUAUCAUUCUUGUUAGUUCUGAGAGAAUUCCCUCGGUAUGAUAAUUCUUUUAUCAGUUUGUUCCCCGUUUCUUCUCUAGCCUGAGCCCGACACACUAUUCUAGCUAGACAUGGGUGUGGCUCGUAACACCUGAUGACCAAACGGAUCUACGGCACCAUCGAAUCUCAAACUUUAACUGCCAAAACUAUUGUUUUUCAUCCUGUAGUCCCUUUUAGAAUUACUAAAUGUCCUUUUUUGGGCCGAGAUUUCCAGGAACGCUUUCUCAGGGUUUGUGUGCAAGUAAUUCAAACCAUACGGACCUAAAAAUUAGAAGUCAUUCCAUCUUUAUUCCCCUAGAGCCUUCCAGCAGUUCCUAAACCGCUCAAGUCAGUGCACGUUAUCAUUCUUGUUAGUUCUAAGUGAAUUCCCUCGGUAUGAUAAUUUGUUCAUCAGUUUGUUCCCCGUUUCUUCUCUAGCCUGAGCCUGACACACUAUUCUAGCUAGACAUGGGUGUGGCUCGUAACACCUGAUGACCAAACGGAUCUACGACACCAUCGAAUCUCAAACUUUAACUACCAAAACUAUUGUUUUUCAUCCUCUAGUCCCUUUUAGAAUUACUAAACGUCCUUUUUUGGGCCGAGAUUUCCAGGAACGCUUUCUCGGGGUUUGUGUGCAUGUAUUUCAAACCAUACAGACCUAAAAAUUAGAAGUCAUUCCAUCUUUAUUCCCGUAGAGCCUUCCAGCAGUUCCUAAACCGCUCCAGUCGGAGCAUGUUAUCAUUCUUGUUUGUUCUGAGUGAAUUCCCUCGGUAUGAUAAUUCUAUCAUCAGUUUGUUCCCCGUUUCUUCUCUAGCCUGAGCCUGGCAAACUAUUCUAGCUAGACAUGGGUGUGGCUCGUAACACCUGAUGACCAAACGGAUCUACGACACCAUCGAAUCUCAAACUUUAACUACCAAAACUAUUGUUUUUCAUUCUAUAGUCCCUUCUAGAAUUUCUAAACGUCCUUUUUUGGGCCGAGAUUUCCAGGAAUGCUUUCUCGGGGUUUGUGUGCAAGUAUUUCAAAUCAUACGGACCUAAAAAUUAGAAGUCAUUCCAUCUUUAUUCCCCUAGAGCCUUCCAGUAGUUCCUAAACCGCUCCAGUCGGAGCACGUUAUCAUUCUUGUUAGUUCAUAGUGAAUUCCCUCGGUAUGAUAAUUCUUUCAUCAGUUUGUUCCCCGUUUCUUCUCUAGCCUGAGCCUGGCACAGUAUUCUAGCUAGACAUGGGUGUGGUCGUAACACCUGAUGACUAAAUGGAUCGACGGCACCAUCGAAUCUCAAACUUUAACUGCCAAAACUAUUGUUUUUCAUCCUGUAAUCCCAUUUAGAAUUACUAAACGUCCUUUUUUGGGCCGAGAUUUAGAGGAACGCUUUGUUGGGGUUUGUGUGCAAGUAUUUCAAACCAUACGGACCUAAAAAUUAGAACUCAUUCCAUAUUUAUUCCCCUUGAGCCUUCCAGCAGUUCCUAAACCGCUCUAGUCGGAGCACGUUAUCAUUCUUGUUAGUUCUAAGAGAAUUCCCUCGGUAUGAUAAUUCUUUUAUCAGUUUGUUCCCCGUUUCUUCUCUAGACUGGGCCCGACACACUAUUCUAGCUAGACAUGGGUGUGGCUCGUAACACCUGAUGACCAAACGGAUCUACGGCACCAUCGAAUCUCAAACUUCAACUGCCAAAACUAUUGUUUUUCAUCCUGUAGUCCCUUUUAGAAUUACUAAACGUCCUUUUUUGGGCCGAGAUUUCCAGGAACGCUUUCUCGGGGUUUGUGUGCAAGUAUUUCAAACCAUACGGACCUAAAAAUUAGAAGUCAUUCCAUCUUUAUUCCCGUAGAGCCAUCCAGCAGUUCCUAAACCGCUCCAGUCGGAGCACGUUAUCAUUCUUGUUAGUUCUGAGUGAAUUCCCUCGGUAUGAUAAUUCUUUCAUCAGUUUGUUCCCCGUUUCUUCUCUAGCCUGAGCCUGACAAACUAUUAUAGCUAGACAUGGGUGUGGCUCGUAACACCUGAUGACCAAACGGAUCUAUGGCACCAUCGAAUCUCAAACUUUAACUGCCAAAACUAUUGUUUUUCAUCCUGUAGUCCCUUUUAGAAUUACUAAACGCCCUUCUUUGGGACGAGAUUUCCAGGAACGCUUUCUCGGGGUUUGUGUGAAAGUAAUUCAAACCAUACGGACCUAAAAAUUAGAAGUCAUUCCAUCUUUAUUCCCGUGGAGCCUUCCAGUAGUUCCUAAACCGCUCCAGUCGGAGCACGUUAUCAUUCUUGUUAGUUCUGAGUGAAUUCCCUCGGUAUGAUAAUUCUUUCAUCAGUUUGUUCCCUGUUUCUUCUCUAGCCUGAGCCUGGCACACUAUUCUAGCUAGACAUGGGUGUGGCUCGUAACACCUGAUGACUAAACUGAUCAAUGACACCAUCGAAUCUCAAACUUUAACUGCCAAAACUAUUGUUUUUCAUCCUGUAGUCCCAUUUAGAAUUACUAAACGUCCUUUUUUGGGCCGAGAUUUCCAGGAACGCUUACUCGGGGUUUGUGUGCAAGUAUUUCAAACCAUACUGACCUAAAAAUUAGAAGUCAAUCCAUCUUUAUUCCCCUAGAGCCUUCCAGCAGUUCCUAAACCGCUCCAGUCGGAGCACGUUAUCAUUCUUGUUAGUUCUGAGUGAAUUCCCUCGGUAUGAUAAUUCUUUCAUCAGUUUGUUCCUUGUUUCUUCUCUAGCCUGAACCUGACACACUAUUCUAGCUAGACAUGGGUGUGGCUCGUAACACCUGAUGACCAAACGGAUCUACGGCACCAUCGAAUCUCAAACUUUAACUGCCAAAACUAUUAUUUUUAAUCCUCUAGUCCCAUUUAGAAUUACUAAACGUCCUUUUUUGGGCCGAGAUUUAGAGGAACGCUUUCAUGCGGUUUGUGUGCAAGUAUUUCAAACCAUACGGACCUAAAAAUUAGAAGUCAUUCCAUCUUUAUUCCCCUAGAGCCUUCCAGCAGUUCCUAAACCGCUCCAGUCGGAGCAUGUUAUCAUUCUUGUUAGUUCUGAGUGAAUUCCCUCGGUAUGAUAAUUCUUUCAUCAGUUUGUGGCCCGUUUCUUCUCUAGCCUGAGCCUGACACACUAUUCUAGCUAGACGUGGGUGUGGCUCGUAACACCUGAUGACCAAACGGAUCUACGGCACCAUCGAAUCUCAAACUUUAAGUGCCAAAACUAUUAUUUUUAAUCCUGUAGUCCCAUUUAGAAUUAC
rnacentral:lncRNA from 1 species